GCCCUGAAUCGUAGCUCAGUUGGUAGAGCUUGAGACUCUUAAUCUCAGGGUUGUGGGUUCCAGCCCCAGGUUGGGCA